rnacentral:rRNA from 1 species
GCCUAACACAUGCAAGUCGAACGGUAACAGGAAGCAGCUUGCUGCUUCGCUGACGAGUGGCGGACGGGUGAGUAAUGUCUGGGAAACUGCCUGAUGGAGGGGGAUAACUACUGGAAACGGUAGCUAAUACCGCAUAACGUCGCAAGACCAAAGAGGGGGACCUUCGGGCCUCUUGCCAUCGGAUGUGCCCAGAUGGGAUUAGCUAGUAGGUGGGGUAACGGCUCACCUAGGCGACGAUCCCUAGCUGGUCUGAGAGGAUGACCAGCCACACUGGAACUGAGACACGGUCCAGACUCCUACGGGAGGCAGCAGUGGGGAAUAUUGCACAAUGGGCGCAAGCCUGAUGCAGCCAUGCCGCGUGUAUGAAGAAGGCCUUCGGGUUGUAAAGUACUUUCAGCGGGGAGGAAGGCGAUAAGGUUAAUAACCUUGUCGAUUGACGUUACCCGCAGAAGAAGCACCGGCUAACUCCGUGCCAGCAGCCGCGGUAAUACGGAGGGUGCAAGCGUUAAUCGGAAUUACUGGGCGUAAAGCGCACGCAGGCGGUCUGUCAAGUCGGAUGUGAAAUCCCCGGGCUCAACCUGGGAACUGCAUUCGAAACUGGCAGGCUAGAGUCUUGUAGAGGGGGGUAGAAUUCCAGGUGUAGCGGUGAAAUGCGUAGAGAUCUGGAGGAAUACCGGUGGCGAAGGCGGCCCCCUGACAAAGACUGACGCUCAGGUGCGAAA